rnacentral:rRNA from 1 species
UCCGUGAAGUUGGAUUCGCUAGUAAUCGCGCAUCAGCCAUGGCGCGGUGAAUACGUUCCCGGGCCUUGUACACACCGCCCGUCAAGCCAUGGAAGCUGGGGGUGCCUGAAGUUCGUGACCGCAAGGAGCGACCUAGGGCAAAACCGGUGACUGGGGCUAAGUCGUAACAAGGUAUC